rnacentral:rRNA from 1 species
GUUUGACCUCGGAUCAGGUAGGAAUACCCGCUGAACUUAAGCAUAUCAAUAANNGGAGGA